rnacentral:rRNA from 1 species
CCAGACUCCUACGGGAGGCAGCAGUGGGGGAUAUUGCACAAUGGGGGAAGCCCUGAUGCAGCGACGCCGCGUGUGGGAAGACGGUCCUCUGGAUUGUAAACCACUGUCCCCAGGGACGAAGAUGACGGUACCUGGGGAGGAAGCUCCGGCUAACUACGUGCCAGCAGCCGCGGUAAUACGGAGGAUGCGAGCGUUAUCCGGAUUUAUUGGGUUUAAAGGGUGCGUAGGCGGAAUAUCAAGUCGGCGGUAAAAAUUCGGGGCUCAACCCCGUCGUGCCGUUGAAACUGAUGUUCUUGAGUGGGCGAGAAGUAUGCGGAAUGCGUGGUGUAGCGGUGAAAUGCAUAGAUAUCACGCAGAACUCCGAUUGCGAAGGCAGCAUACCGGCGCCCAACUGACGCUGAAGCACGAAAGCGUGGGUAUCGAACAGGAUUAGAUACCCUUGUA